rnacentral:rRNA from 1 species
CUCCUACNNNNNGCNGCAGUGGGGAAUAUUGCACAAUGGGCGAAAGCCUGAUGCAGCUAUGCCGCGUGUAUGAAGAAGGCCUUAGGGUUGUAAAGUACUUUCAACAAGGAAGAAGGGGUAAAAUCUAACAUAUUUUACCAUUGACGUUACUUGUAAAAGAAGCACCGGCUAACUCCGUGCCAGCAGCCGCGGUAAUACGGAGGGUGCGAGCGUUAAUCGGAAUUACUGGGCGUAAAGAGCACGUAGGCUGUUAAUUAAGUCAGUUGUGAAAUCCCUAGGCUCAACCUAGGAAUUGCAAUUGAAACUAAUUAACUUGAGUUUCAUAGAGGGGAGUAGAAUUCCAGGUGUAGCGGUGAAAUGCGUAGAUAUCUGGAGGAAUACCAGUGGCGAAGGCGACUCCCUGGAUGAAUACUGACGCUCAGGUGCGAAAGCAUGGGGAGCAAACAGGAWUAGAUACCCUGGUAGUCCAUGCCGUAAACGAUGUCGACUUGAAGGUUGUAAGCUUGACUUAUAGCUUUCGUAGCUAACGCGUUAAGUCGACCGCCUGGGGAGUACGACCGCAAGGUUAAAACUCAAAUGAAUUGACGGGGGCCCGCACAAGCGGUGGAGCAUGUGGUUUAAUUCGAUGCAACGCGAAGAACCUUACCUGGUCUUGACAUCCAUGAAAUUUAAUAGAAAUAUUUUAGUGCCUUCGGGAAUCAUGAGACAGGUGCUGCAUGGCUGUCGUCAGCUCGUGUUGUGAAAUGUUGGGUUAAGUCCCGCAACGAGCGCAACCCUUGUCCUUUGUUGCCAUCAGUUUAGCUGGGAACUCAAAGGAGACUGCUGGUGAUAAACCGGAGGAAGGUGGGGACGACGUCAAGUCAUCAUGGCCCUUACGACCAGGGCUACACACGUGCUACAAUGGUAUAUACAAAGGGAAGCAUCCUCGUAAGAGUAAGCGGAUCUCAUAAAAUAUAUCUUAGUUCGGAUUGGAGUCUGCAACUCGACUCUWUAAAGUCGGAAUCGCUAGUAAUCGUAGAUCAGAAUGCUACGGUGAAUACGUUCCCGGGCCUUGUACACACCGCCCGUCACACCAUGGAAGUGGGUUGUAAAAGAAGUAAGUUGUUUAACCUCAUUUAUACUGAGGAGGACGCUUACCAAUUUNNNNCCAUAACUGGGGU